rnacentral:rRNA from 1 species
AAACGACUCUCGGCAACGGAUAUCUCGGCUCUCGCAUCGAUGAAGAACGUAGCGAAAUGCGAUACUUGGUGUGAAUUGCAGAAUCCCGUGAACCAUCGAGUCUUUGAACGCAAGUUGCGCCCCAAGCCGUUAGGCUGAGGGCACGUCUGCCUGGGUGUCACG